AUGCCAUGAUGAUGACACAUUCUGAGCAGUUCUUUAAAUCUUUCCCAAGCCUCGUACAAACUCUCAUCUUCAAGUUGAUGGAAGAAAGUAAUCUUAUUCCGCAACUU
rfam:Citrus sinensis cultivar Ridge Pineapple sweet orange scaffold00131_contig_25, whole genome shotgun sequence.